rnacentral:rRNA from 1 species
GACGAACGCUGGCGGCGUGCUUAACACAUGCAAGUCGAACGAAGAGCGAUGGAAGCUUGCUUCUAUCAAUCUUAGUGGCGGACGGGUGAGUAACGCGUAAUCAACCUGCCCUUCAGAGGGGGACAACAGUUGGAAACGACUGCUAAUACCGCAUACGAUCUAAACUCGGCAUCGAGGAUAGAUGAAAGGUGGCCUCUACAUGUAAGCUAUCACUGAAGGAGGGGAUUGCGUCUGAUUAGCUAGUUGGAGGGGUAACGGCCCACCAAGGCGAUGAUCAGUAGCCGGUCUGAGAGGAUGAACGGCCACAUUGGGACUGAGACACGGCCCAGACUCCUACGGGAGGCAGCAGUGGGGAAUCUUCCGCAAUGGACGAAAGUCUGACGGAGCAACGCCGCGUGAGUGAUGACGGCCUUCGGGUUGUAAAGCUCUGUUAAUCGGGACGAAAGGCCUUCUUGCGAAUAGUGAGAAGGAUUGACGGUACCGGAAUAGAAAGCCACGGCUAACUACGUG